rnacentral:rRNA from 1 species
AGAGUUUGAUCCUGGCUCAGAAUGAACGCUGGCGGCGUGCCUAACACAUGCAAGUCGAGCGAGAAAGCUCCUUCGGGAGUGAGUACAGCGGCGGACGGGUGAGUAACACGUGAGAAUCUGCCCUUUAGUGAAGAAUACCUUUGAGAAAUCAAAGUUAAUACUGCAUACGUCCCUUCGGGGAGAAAGAUGGCCUCUUUGCUGUCGCUAAAGGAUGAGCUUGCGGACUAUUAGCUUGUUGGUGAGGUAAAGGCUCACCAAGGCGAUGAUGGAUAGCCGGCCUGAGAGGGUGUACGGCCACACUGGAACUUAGACACGGUCCAGACUCCUACGGGAGGCAGCAGUGAGGAAUCUUGCGCAAUGGGCGAAAGCCUGACGCAGCGACGCCGCGUGGAGGAUGAAGGUUUUAGGAUCGUAAACUCCUGUUAAGUGGGAAGAAAGACUUGCUUUUAAUAGAAGCGAGGGAUGACGGUACCAUUAGAGAAAGCACCGGCUAACUUCGUGCCAGCAGCCGCGGUAAUACGAGGGGUGCUAGCGUUAUUCGGAUUUAUUGGGCGUAAAGGGUGCGUAGACGGCUUAUUAAGUCAACUGUUAAAUUCUCCGGCCUAACUGGAGAUCUGCGGUAGAAACUGAUAGGAUUGAGGGUGGAAGAGAGAAGUGGAAUUCUCGGAGUAGCGGUAAAAUGCGUAGAUCUCGAGAGGAACACCGAUGGCGAAGGCAGCUUCUUGGUCCAUACCUGACGUUGAGGCACGAAAGCGUGGGGAGCAAACAGGAUUAGAUACCCUGUAGUCCACGCCGUAAACGAUGAUCACUAGACGUUAACUCUGCUUGCAGAGUCAGUGUCGUAGCUAACGCGUUAAGUGAUCCGCCUGGGGAGUACGGUCGCAAGGCUAAAACUCAAAGGAAUUAACGGGGGCUCGCACAAGCGGUGGAACAUGUGGUUUAAUUCGACAAUACGCGAGGAACCUUACCUAGGCUUGACAUGUUUUGACAGUCGUGGAAACACGAUCUUCUAUGCUUCGGUAUAGACAAUUGCACAGGUGCUGCAUGGUUGUCGUCAGCUCGUGUCGUGAGAUGUUGGGUUAAGUCCUUUAACGAGUGCAACUCUUGCCGAUAGUUGCAACUUGAUUUAUCAAGGCACUCUAUUGGGACUGCCCGGGAAACCGGGAGGAAGGUGGGAAUGACGUCAAAUCAUCAUGGCCCUUAUGCCUAGGGCUACACACGUGUUACAAUGGUUGGUACAACAGGUAGCAAUUCCGUAAGGAUGAGCAAAUCCCAAAAGCCAAUCUAAGUUCGGAUUGCGGUCUGCAACUCGACCGCAUGAAGUUGAAAUCGCUAGUAAUCGCGCAUCAGCAACGGCGCGGUGAAUACGUUCACGAGCCUUGUACACACCGCCCGUCACACCACGAAAGCUGUUUGUACCCGAAACUAUCUUAGCCAACCCUUCGGGGAGGCGGGUAUCUAAGGUAUGGGGAGUAAUUGGGGUGAAGUCGUAACAAGGUA